UCCCGCAGGCAGGGCUUAGUGGUUGGUGAA
rnacentral:piRNA from 1 species